rnacentral:rRNA from 1 species
AGUGAACGCUGGCGGUAGGCCUAACACAUGCAAGUCGAACGGCAGCACAGUAAGAGCUUGCUCUUACGGGUGGCGAGUGGCGGACGGGUGAGGAAUACAUCGGAAUCUACUUUUUCGUGGGGGAUAACGUAGGGAAACUUACGCUAAUACCGCAUACGACCUACGGGUGAAAGCAGGGGAUCUUCGGACCUUGCGCGAUUGAAUGAGCCGAUGUCGGAUUAGCUAGUUGGCGGGGUAAAGGCCCACCAAGGCGACGAUCCGUAGCUGGUCUGAGAGGAUGAUCAGCCACACUGGAACUGAGACACGGUCCAGACUCCUACGGGAGGCAGCAGUGGGGAAUAUUGGACAAAGGGCGCAAGCCUGAUCCAGCCAUACCGCGUGGGUGAAGAAGGCCUUCGGGUUGUAAAGCCCUUUUGUUGGGAAAGAAAAGCAGCAGGUUAAUACCCCGCUGCUCUGACGGUACCCAAAGAAUAAGCACCGGCUAACUUCGUG